rnacentral:rRNA from 1 species
GAUGAACGCUGGCGGCGUGCCUAAUACAUGCAAGUCGAGUGAACAGACGAGGAGCUUGCUCCUCUGACGUUAGCGGCGGACGGGUGAGUAACACGUGGAUAACCUACCUAUAAGACUGGGAUAACUUCGGGAAACCGGAGCUAAUACCGGAUAAUAUAUUGAACCGCAUGGUUCAAUAGUGAAAGACGGUUUUGCUGUCACUUAUAGAUGGGUCCGCGCCGCAUUAGCUAGUUGGUAAGGUAACGGCUUACCAAGGCGACGAUGCGUAGCCGACCUGAGAGGGUGAUCGACCACACUGGAACUGAGACACGGUCCAGACUCCUACGGGAGGCAGCAGUAGGGAAUCUUCCGCAAUGGGCGAAAGCCUGACGGAGCAACGCCGCGUGAGUGAUGAAGGUCUUCGGAUCGUAAAACUCUGUUAUUAGGGAAGAACAAAUGUGUAAGUAACUAUGCACGUCUUGACGGUACCUAAUCAGAAAGCCACGGCUAACUACGUG